rnacentral:rRNA from 1 species
UACGUAGGGUGCAAGCGUUGUCCGGAAUUAUUGGGCGUAAAGAGCUCGUAGGCGGUCUGUCACGUCGGCUGUGAAAACCCGGGGACUCAACCCGGGCCUGCAGUCGAUACGGGCAGACUAGAGUGCGGUAGGGGAGACUGGAAUUCCUGGUGUAGGACGGUGAAAUGCGUAGAUAUCGGAAGGAACACCUGUGGCGAAAGCGGCUCACUGGACCAUUACGUGACGCUGAUGCACGAAAGCUAGGGGAGCAAACAGG